rnacentral:rRNA from 1 species
UACGUAGGGGGCAAGCGUUGUCCGGAAUCAUUGGGCGUAAAGGGCGUGCAGGCGGUCUGUUAAGUGCAGGGUGAAAGCUCCCGGCUCAACUGGGAGAGGUCCUUGCAUACUGGCGGACUUGAGGGGGGUAGAGGAAAGUGGAAUUCCCGGUGUAGUGGUGAUAUGCGUAGAUAUCGGGAGGAACACCUGUGGCGAAGGCGGCUUUCUGGGCCCUACCUGACGCUGAGACGCGAAAGCGUGGGGAGCGAACCGG